CAAUAGCGUAUAUUAAAGUUGUUGACAGUUAAAAAGCUCGUAGUUGGAUUUCUGGCCGAGUGUCCCUAGGCCAGCAUGACGUUUGGUCCUAGGCGCUCUGCCAUCCUUCUGUCAACCUUCGCCUUCUUCAUUGGGGGCGCUGGGGACUCAGAUAUUUUACCUUGAGAAAAUUAGAGUGUUUCAGGCAGGCUUUCGCCGGAAUACAUUAGCAUGGAAUAAUGGAAUUAGGACUUUUCGCCUCUUCUGUUGGUCUGAGGGGUGAUCGUAAUGAUUAAUAGGGAUAGUUGGGGGCAUUAGUACUUAACUGUCAGAAGGUGAAAUUCUCGGAUUUGUUAAAGACUAACUUAUGCGAAAGCAUUUGCCAAGGAUGUUUUCAUUAAUCAAGAACGAAAGUUAGGGGAUCAAAGACGAUCAGAUACCAU
rnacentral:rRNA from 1 species